ACUACUUUUGCUACUUUUCAAAUGCUCCGGUUAACUAAUCAACCCGAGCAUUUGUGAAAAUUUUAAUAUAAAAAUUCACAAAUGCUCGGGUUGAUUAAUCAACCCGAGCAUUUGAUGUCAAAUGCUCCGGUUGACAACCCGAGCAUUUGAACCCUCUCUCAAUUCAUGAAAGUUGCACUGUACAAACUAAAAUAAUAUUCGACCCUCCUCAAUCCUCAUCAGUCCUUUCCUCUAUUGUUUUCUCUCAAUUGAAACCUCGCACUGUACUCCCCCGUCCAUCCCUAUGUUGUCCAUCCUUCCGCCGCAGUUCAAUCUCGCUGCUCCGCUCCUCAACGUCGACCUUACCGUUUGUGCAAUCAACAACUCCAUCGAAUGCAUUUCCAGCAGCGGCGAUAGGAGGCGAUGGCGAUGGUGGUGCAGCAAUUGCAACAGGAGAUCUCGACCGUUGCUCCUCCGGUUUUUCGAUCGCUCCCCCGCCACUGUGUGACCACUGCCACCAUCUAUGUCAUAUUUGUUGAUGAUGGAAGUCAGACUAAGGAGAACAGUUUUAUUUAUGCGAGAUGAUGCUUGGUUUGCAGCUCUCGGAAGGUCAUGCAUCCACUUAACCUGGAGCGACCGGGGUGCUAUAUCUCUUGAUGCAACUUUAUUCUGUCAAUGGAAGAUCCAUAGAUCAGCAUGCUACAUUGUGGAGCAUUGUGACGAUCCAGUAUACACGACUUUUACGGGAGUCAUUUAGGCUCAUGAUGCAUGGGUGACUGCAUUGAGCUGGGGCUUUCUUGCCUCUGAUUCAAGUCACCAGGUUGUAUUGGCUUCUGGUUGUUGUCAUGGCAGUGUAAGGAUCUGGUCUGCAUAUAUCUGUGAUCUCAAGAAGUUGACUGAUGCUGAGGAGAAUCCCUUCUUUCUAUUGAAUGAGGAUAAUUCGUUGCAUGGAUGGAUAUAUCAUAAGGGCUUUGUGUCUGAAGUGUCUGUUCCAUCGAACAGCCUUGGAACAAGAAGUUUUUCUGAUCUUCCUUCCGUGUCAGACUCAUGUUAUGGGGUGGCAUUUUCGCCUGGAAAUUUGGCACUUGCUGUGGCACGCAAAUUUGAUGUUGGACAGUUAGAUAAUAUGUACCAGAAAAGGCAGCAAAGGAUCAUGAGUUAGAUCAAGUUAAUCAAGAACAAGCUAAGAAGAAAAAUUCAUGGAGUUUGUCUGGUAUUCAAACUUUUUGUUUUUCGAUGAGUUUUUUUUUUUAGAUUAGUAUUAAUUUUGCUUGAUUUUCACUCUUCUUUAAGGUUUUACUUGAUUGUUUGUGAAAAGCAGUGUUAGAGAUUCUAGGAGUACUUGCUAAUUAACAUGUAUACUUUGAUUAGUUCUUACUAGUGUUGUUUAAUAUAAAAGAUAACAUUUUUUUAUUAAUGUAUUAUGCUUGUUGUUGUAUAGUUUGACGCAAGAUAUGAUAAUGAU